rnacentral:rRNA from 1 species
UACGAAGGGGGCUAGCGUUGCUCGGAAUCACUGGGCGUAAAGCGCACGUAGGCGGGUCUUUAAGUCAGGGGUGAAAUCCUGGAGCUCAACUCCAGAACUGCCUUUGAUACUGAGGAUCUCGAGUCCGGGAGAGGUGAGUGGAACUCCGAGUGUAGAGGUGAAAUUCGUAGAUAUUCGGAAGAACACCAGUGGCGAAGGCGGCUCACUGGACCGUUGUUGACGCUGAGGUGCGAAAGCGUGGGGAGCAAACAGG